rnacentral:rRNA from 1 species
AGAGUUUGAUCCUGGCUCAGGAUGAACGCUGGCGGCGUGCCUAACACAUGCAAGUCGAGCGAUUCUCUUCGGAGAAGAGCGGCGGACGGGUGAGUAACGCGUGGGUAACCUGCCCUGUACACACGGAUAACAUACCGAAAGGUAUGCUAAUACGAGAUAAUAUGCUUUUAUCGCAUGGUAGAAGUAUCAAAGCUUUUGCGGUACAGGAUGGACCCGCGUCUGAUUAGCUAGUUGGUAAGGUAACGGCUUACCAAGGCGACGAUCAGUAGCCGACCUGAGAGGGUGAUCGGCCACAUUGGAACUGAGACACGGUCCAAACUCCUACGGGAGGCAGCAGUGGGGAAUAUUGCACAAUGGGCGAAAGCCUGAUGCAGCAACGCCGCGUGAGCGAUGAAGGCCUUCGGGUCGUAAAGCUCUGUCCUCAAGGAAGAUAAUGACGGUACUUGAGGAGGAAGCCCCGGCUAACUACGUGCCAGCAGCCGCGGUAAUACGUAGGGGGCUAGCGUUAUCCGGAAUUACUGGGCGUAAAGGGUGCGUAGGUGGUUUCUUAAGUCAGAGGUGAAAGGCUACGGCUCAACCGUAGUAAGCCUUUGAAACUGGGAAACUUGAGUGCAGGAGAGGAGAGUGGAAUUCCUAGUGUAGCGGUGAAAUGCGUAGAUAUUAGGAGGAACACCAGUAGCGAAGGCGGCUCUCUGGACUGUAACUGACACUGAGGCACGAAAGCGUGGGGAGCAAACAGGAUUAGAUACCCUGGUAGUCCACGC